rnacentral:rRNA from 2 species
ACGGAAGGCAGCAGUGGGGAAUAUUGCGCAAUGGGGGCAACCCUGACGCAGCAACGCCGCGUGAAGGAAGAAGGUCUUCGGAUUGUAAACUUUUGUCUUUGGUGAAGAUAAUGACGGUAGCCAAGGAGGAAGCCACGGCUAACUACGUGCCAGCAGCCGCGGUAAUACGUAGGUGGCAAGCGUUGUCCGGAUUUACUGGGUGUAAAGGGCGUGUAGACGGGUUGGUAAGUCAGAUGUGAAAUACCGCAGCUUAACUGCGGGGCUGCAUUUGAUACUGCCGAUCUUGAGUGCGGGAGAGGAAAGCGGAAUUCCUGGUGUAGCGGUGAAAUGCGUAGAUAUCAGGAGGAACAUCGGUGGCGAAGGCGGCUUUCUGGACCGUAACUGACGUUGAGGCGCGAAAGCGUGGGUAGCAAACAGGAUUAGAUACCCUGGUA